GCGGGUGUAGCUCAGGGGUAGAGCAUAGCAUAACCUUGCCAAGGUUAGGGUCGUGGGUUCGAAUCCCAUCGCCCGCUCCA
rnacentral:tRNA from 1 species